ensembl:snoRNA predicted gene, 22372
UCUGCCCCUAGGAGCAUUGCAGGUAUGACUGCUGUGGCACAUGUGUGUCAGAAGGUGGCAGAGAGGAGAGAGGCUAUGUCUAUGCUCCACUCACUGUUCUGAUAGUUAAACAUCUGAAUCAUCUGUAGCCUAACAUU